GAUGAACGCUGGCGGCGUGCUUAACACAUGCAAGUCGAACGGGAAACCUUUUAUUGAAGCUUCGGCAGAUUUAGCUGGUUUCUAGUGGCGGACGGGUGAGUAACGCGUGGGUAACCUGCCUUAUACAGGGGGAUAACAACCAGAAAUGGUUGCUAAUACCGCAUAAGCGCACAGGACCGCAUGGUCCGGUGUGAAAAACUCCGGUGGUAUAAGAUGGACCCGCGUUGGAUUAGCUAGUUGGCAGGGUAACGGCCUACCAAGGCGACGAUCCAUAGCCGGCCUGAGAGGGUGAACGGCCACAUUGGGACUGAGACACGGCCCAGACUCCUACGGGAGGCAGCAGUGGGGAAUAUUGCACAAUGGGGGAAACCCUGAUGCAGCGACGCCGCGUGAAGGAAGAAGUAUCUCGGUAUGUAAACUUCUAUCAGCAGGGAAGAUAGUGACGGUACCUGGCUAAGAAGCCCCGGCUAACUACGUG
rnacentral:rRNA from 1 species